rnacentral:rRNA from 1 species
CCUACGGGGGGCAGCAGUGGGGAAUAUUGCACAAUGGGGGAAACCCUGAUGCAGCGACGCCGCGUGAGUGAAGAAGGAUUUCGGUAUGUAAAGCCCUGUCAGCAGGGGAGAAAAUGCCGGUACCUGACCAAGAAGCCGCGGCUAACUACGUGCCAGCAGCCGCGGUAACCAGUAGGGGGCAAGCGUAAUCCGGAUUUACUGGGUGUAAAGGGAGCGUAGACGGCAGGGCAAGUCUGGAGUGAAAGGCGGGGGGUCAACCCCCGGACUGCUCUGGAAACUGCCAGGCUGGAGUGCAGGAGAGGUAAGUGGAAUUCCUGGUGUAGCGGUGAAAUGCGUAGAUAUUAGGAGGAACACCAGUGGCGAAGGCGGCUUACUGGACUGUAACUGACGUUGAGGCUCGAAAGCGUGGGGAGCGAACAGGAUUAGAUACCCUGGUAGUC